AAGAAAAUAGAUGCUCUUGGGAAAGAAAAAGCUUGUGGAGAAGUUCUUUCCUGGAGAAAGAGUGUCGUGAAUCACCUCUACUGGUGCAGAGGGUCUUCAAAGACCGGAGAAGAAGCUGUGGCAAAGUGGAGGUCAAUAACAAAUCGUGUGCAAAAUGUGCAUCAUCACAAAAGCACAAAAGCUUGUGAAAAAUUCUGUGACCUCAUGCUCCAAGGUCGUCUCUUGAAGGACAUCGCAAAAUUGAGCCCUCACCACCAGACGUCUUCAAUUGAAGGCUUUCAUAGCCUGAUUUUGAAAUUAGCACCAAAGAAUGUGGCAUUUCCAUUUUUAGGAAUGUUGAGCAGAUUAAAUCCUUGCUGCUCUUCACUACAAUGAGAAUGCUGAUCUGGAACCAGCAUGCAACGAGAAUGGUGAUGUUUCGGUUCAAGUCAGAUGGCCAAAGUUCAAAAAGGACUAUGUGGACACCCUGCUGAAGAUGCUGUUUGAAGACGUCAUUCCCAACCCUGGCCCAUACCAGAAACACAUGAGUGGAGUGGAGGUCCCUGAUGAUUUGUGUGCUGCUUCGAAAGGCCGGAUUUGCAGGAAGCUGCUGCAAGACAUUGGUCCCGCUUUUCACAGUGUCCUUUGGUUGUUUCACAUGAACAUUUAAUGUGUCAGAUAGAAUGUGAGAGUCUGUGAAAGUGGGAAAAUGUGUAUGUUGU